GUGGUUUUUCAGAGGAUUAGAGCACUUGGCUACGAACCACGGUGUCGGGGGUUCGAAUCCCUCCUCGCCCACA
rnacentral:tRNA from 1 species